rnacentral:rRNA from 1 species
CCUACGGGGGACUGCAGUGAGGAAUAUUGGUCAAUGGACGAGAGUCUGAACCAGCCAAGUAGCGUGAAGGAUGACUGCCCUAUGGGUUGUAAACUUCUUUUAUAUGGGAAUAAAAUGUUCCACGUGUGGGAUUUUGUAUGUACCAUAUGAAUAAGGAUCGGCUAACUCCGUGCCAGCAGCCGCGGUAAUACGGAGGAUCCGAGCGUUAUCCGGAUUUAUUGGGUUUAAAGGGAGCGUAGGUGGAUUGUUAAGUCAUUUGUGAAAGUUUGCGGCUCAACCGUAAAAUUGCAGUUGAAACUGGCAGUCUUGAGUACAGUAGAGGUGGGCGGAAUUCGUGGUGUAGCGGUGAAAUGCUUAGAUAUCACGAAGAACUCCGAUUGCGAAGGCAGUUCACUGGACUGCAACUGACACUGAGGCUCGAAAGUGUGGGUAUCAAACAGGAUUAGAUACCCUUGUAGUC